rnacentral:rRNA from 1 species
UACGUAGGGUGCAAGCGUUAAUCGGAAUUACUGGGCGUAAAGCGUGCGCAGGCGGCUUUGUAAGACAGAUGUGAAAUCCCCGAGCUCAACUUGGGAACUGCGUUUGAAACUACAAGGCUAGAAUAUGUCAGGGGGGGGUAGAAUUCCACGUGUAGCAGUGAAAUGCGUAGAGAUGUGGAGGAAUACCAAGGGCGAAGGCAGCCCCCUGGAAUAAUAUUGACGCUCAUGCACGAAAGCGUGGGGAGCAAACAGG